UGCCUCCUGGUGUUUACCAGAGGCUGUUCUUACAAUGACUAUAUAAAAAGAGGAGGCAAAGUACACCUACCCCAUAUACCCCAUAUACCUCAUAUACCUCAGCCUAGGCCCUGUGCCUCGUCUGUAUUGUGAAUGGGGAGACAUGG
rnacentral:snoRNA from 1 species